GACGAACGCUGGCGGCGUGGAUUAGGCAUGCAAGUCGAACGGUAUCAUCCUUUCGGGGGUGAGAGAGUGGCGAACUGGUGAGUAACACGUAGGUUAUCUACCCUCAAGACGGGGACAACCCAGGGAAACUUGGGCUAAUACCGGAUGUGAGCAACUUUUAGUUGUUUGAAAGGUGGCGUAAGCUGUCGCUUGGGGAUGAGCCUGCGUCCUAUUAGUUAGUUGGUGAGGUAACGGCUCACCUAGGCAAUGAUAGGUAGGCGGCCUUAACGGGUGGUCGCCCACACUGGGAUUGAGAUACGGCCCAGACUCCUACGGGAGGCAGCAGUCGAGAAUAGUCUACAAUGGUCGGAAGACUGAUAGUGCGACGCCGCGUGAACGAUGAAUCCCUUCGGGGUGUAAGUUCUUUUAUAUGUGAGCAGUGCUUCUUAUAUUAACAGUAUGGGGAGAGAGAUAUUAGCAUAUGAAUAAGCAACGGCUAACUCCGUGCCAGCAGCCGACGGU
rnacentral:rRNA from 1 species